CCCAUUCAACUGCCCAGUCAUGUGUCUCAUCCCUCCAUGUUUCUGUUAAGCCUAUUAUGGCAUAUUGCUUAGUGUAUGAUAUUGCCUCUAGUUCUCUCAUUUUGUUAUUAAAUUCAGUUCAAACUGAGCUAACCAGAUUCUCCUACACGGGAAUGCAGAAGGAAGGUAGUGGCCACGGGCUCCUGGCUGGAGGACUGAGGUAAAAUGUUUUGACAAAUUACUAUGGAAAAUGCCAGUGAACUCCUGGCACCAGAACCACUACAUCUGCAAGAAAG